GAAAUCUGGCACCUUCGGUGUCCGAGUUGUAAUUUGAAGAAGGUAACUUUGGAGUCAGCUCUUGUCUAUGUUCCUUGGAACAGGACGUCACAGAGGGUGAGAAUCCCGUGCGAUGAGAUGUCUGAUUCUAUGUAAAGUGCUUUCGAAGAGUCGAGUUGUUUGGGAAUGCAGCUCUAAGUGGGUGGUAAAUUCCAUCUAAAGCUAAAUAUUGGCGAGAGACCGAUAGCGAACAAGUACAGUGAUGGAAAGAUGAAAAGAACUUUGAAAAGAGAGUGAAAAAGUACGUGAAAUUGUUGAAAGGGAAGGGUUUGAGAUCAGACUUGGUAUUUUGUAUGUCUUGCUUUCGGGUGGGGCCUCUACAGUUUACUGGGCCAGCAUCGGUUUGGACGGUAGGAUAAUGACAUUGGAAUGUGGCACCACUUCGGUGGUGUGUUAUAGACUUUGUUGAUACUGCCUGUCUAGACCGAGGACUGCGUCUUUGACUAGGAUGCUGGCAUAAUGAUCUUAAACCGCCC
rnacentral:rRNA from 1 species